rnacentral:rRNA from 1 species
UUUGAACGCUGGCCGCAUGCCUAACACAUGCAAGUCGAGCUAGCGGCGGACGGGUGAGUAAUGCCUGGGAAUUGCCCAGUCGAGGGGGAUAACAGUUGGAAACGUCUGCUAAUACCGCAUACGCUUCGAACUCCCAGGUGGGAUUAGCUAAUUGGUGAGGUAAUGGCCCACCAAGGCGACGAUCCCUAGCUGGUCUGAGAGGAUGAUCAGCCACACUGGAACUGAGACACGGUCCAGACUCCUACGAGAGGCAGCAGUGGGGAAUAUUGCACAAUGGGGGAAACCCUGAUGCAGCCAUGCCGCGUGUGUGAAGAAGGCCUUCGGGUUGUAAAGCACUUUCAGCGAGGAGGCGUGACUCGCAGAAGAAGCACCGGCUAACUCCGUGCCAGCAGCCGCGGUAAUUC